GUUCUCGGCUCUCGGCACAGAUUUGAUUACGCAGAAGGCACGAAACGAUUCGUUUACCAAAUACCACGAACCGGGUGCACGAAGUUGAAAUUAGAUUUCUAGUCCACGUAUGCCAGCCUGAUUUCAGGACAGCCUGUGUAUAAGCACAUCAGAGAUUCUAAUAAUACACGACGACGACUAGAAAGAGCAAGAGAAAGAAAGAAAGAGAGAGAGAGAGAGAGAGAGAGAGAGAGAGAGAGAGAGAGAGAGAGAGAGUACCAUAGCCAAUCCUUGCUUCGACAAUGGCUGCCUUCCUCUUUCAUCCAUCUAUCAACGAUUUAUUUCCACACGUUACGAACAAGGUUCGCCAUUUCUAACUAACCUCUGCUACUAUUAAGGCGGCGGCGGCGACGACGACGACUACCAUGUUGUACGAUUUUCAGAUACACAGGUCGAACCACACCCUCAAGAAAAAAAUGGGUUGCACUACUUGCCAACCCUCUCGGUUCACUAGUCUCUUUUCUUUUUACGUAUAUAUACAUACAUACAUAUAUGUAAAGUAUAUAUAUAUAUAUAUAUAUAUAUAUAUAUACAUAUACAUUAAUGUAUGUAUAUAUUUGUCAUUCCACGACAUCAAGUCGCCACACGUUAACACCAUUACCUCAAACCUCUUAUCACAAGGCAUAGGAAUAUUCAUAGUUAUGCAUACUCCCGGCAAUCUCGCCUGACCUAUCGGGGUAAAUGAAAAAUGUUGAAACGUUCCCUCUAUAUAUGACAAUAUCGUCUAGAAACAUAUAUAUAUAUAUACAUGUAAUCUCGAUGGAAAAAUUAAUUGUCUGAUAAUAAUACUGCCCAUGUAUACAUAUGAAAUAUAUAAAGAACGCAUCGACACCAUUGAAUUAUUUAACAUAUCAUUUUACCAAUCGUUCAUCAAAAACGAUCAUUUAUAAUAUACACUCGAAGAAUAAUAGUCGGAGAUAAUAUUUGAUCA